UGCGGCUCUGUCGCGGAUCGUCAUCCUUGGUAGGUGUUUUCUGUUUUUCUGUCAUUUUCCCUCCAUAACCGCCUGCCAGCUACCAGUGACUAUACAACUCCAGGACAGGAAGAAGAUGCUAACAGAGGCCACACUGGAUGGAAAAGGAGGCUCAGGGAAUUUCUCGGAAGAGGAGAAGGGAUGUAAGAUCUGCAGGAUGGCCUGGCUAUGGUGUUCACUCACAGCAGCUCCAGUGUUUUCAAGCCUACACAAGAUCAAGCCAGCCAAAAUCCCAGCUUAGAGACUGCCAGAUGCUCAAACAAUGGCAUAAAGGACAAGGACAGAUGCAGAAAAAUUGAGGACAAACCCCAAAAUGCGUUGAGCCAGUAACCAUGAAUUCUGUUGCUUUUCCUUGUGCUGCAUUCAUAUGAGUGAAGAAGGCUGGGAGAGGAGGGUCGAGGCCAUAGCUCAACCCAGAGACCGAAGAGGAAGCUCUGGAAAGAACCUAUGCCACAGAAUCAGCAUUCCUCUGAGUUGGGAUUGUUCUAAAUGCACUGCCCCCACUGAAGCCUGCAUAGCUCUAUACACUUUCAUCUCGUGAAGAGGAGCAGCACUCUGAAGAUGGGUAGGAGCUUCAAAGAUUAAAUAGAAGACAUAAAAAGGAUUCUACUUGUAAAAAGCCUAGAAUCAGCUGUUGGAACAAAGUGCCAAGUCUAGGUUUAUUCCUCUCAGAACCUGGAGGGUGAACUUUCUGUUCAUUAUCCCGCCAGUCCAGCAACAGAACACCUCCAGAUGACCAUGUCUUCGGUUUUGCUUUGUUAGCUAUCGCUUAAGUGGGAGCUGAGCCCAGGCUUUGCCUCUGUAACCUAUUAACUGGCGUAGUCUGGUAUCAACGCGGCUGGCUGGUGUCUGGCAAUAGAUACCAUUGGCCGAUGUUCUGACCACGCAAAGAAGUGAUCACAUCUGUUUGAGAGGUAACCACCAAAGAAUGUCGGCGAGAAACACCCCAGGGAGAAGAAAUGCAUCUGCCUCCUUAGAUGGUCGUUUCGGAAACCAGAAGACAAAUGACAAGAUGGAAUAGCACACUGGUGGAAUCCGUGCUAGUACUGGGAAACAGCUUGCAUAUGCAAGAUGGGCCUCAUAUCUGCCACCCCUGGAUCAGAGGAACUGGUGCCAAUAAUGGUAAGUUUCCUAGUAUGACUAACUGACCGAGUGACUAGCUGACACGUCCCCCAUUGUGCUGAUGGGAAAUGAGGUGUUGAUGUAAGGAAACAUUUGGGGCGCGACCUCCCUUGCUGCUCUGAGGUUCCCCUCCCCUUAACAAGUCCGGGGGGGGGGGGGAAGGGCAAAAAGGCUUCAUCUUCAGCUCAGGAGUCCCACUGCUAUUGUUAGCUCUCACUCCAGAGAGAACAAGGAACAAGACUCGGAAAGGACACUCCUUUUGGUGGAUUAGCUUGGAAUGUAUAGGAAUAAUCCUUGAUCCUGUAUAUCAAAAUGUAUUCCAAAUCUCCAAUGUAAAAGCUUUCCCUUAGCUAUUAAAAACCCCAUUUUUCUAGGGAACGUCUAAGAAUAUGCAUGGGUCACUCUAAAUGAUAAUACUGAAAGGAGUUUAAAAGUUGCUUACACCUGAGGCAUUAGCUCAAUUAGUACAGUGCUUGUAGUGCACACAUGAGGACCUAAGUUCAAAUCCAGGAACAGUUCUGAAAACCUAGGCAUGGGACACCAGUUUAUAAUCCCAGUUCCUGGAAGGGAGAGACAGAUGGAUCCCUAGGGCUCACUGGCCAAUCAGCCUAGCCUAACAGGCUAGCAUCAGGCCAAUGUGAGACCUAUCUCAAAAGAAGACGAGAGGCAUUCUUGAGGAACAACAGCUAAGGUUGUCCU